AGGCCACCGUUCACCACCUCGAGUGUCCUUGUCGAAUCGAUCGAGAUCGAAGGAUCGAGACUGGAUCGCCAGACAGGAAUUUGCUGGGCGAGGCUUUCGAGGUAAGAGGGGGAGGGGGAGGGGAGAAGAUAAGAGGAGUUGGCGAAGCGUAGCGAAUAAGCGUCGUCGAACGAAUGCACGGUGAUUAUGCAGGAACGGAUGAACGGGUGGGGGGGGGGGAGGCUUGUGGACGUCUAGGACGGUAGACAGGAGGUUAAUCGAGCCCGAGAAAACUCGUUCCGCGAAUUUUUCUAGGAUUCUAGGCGAGGCCGGUUGAAUAUCCAGCUUCCCUCGGCCAUUAGUUGCAAUCUUCGUAGCUACGUGUAGCUAUUAAUAAUGCGUAUCGCCGCAAAGAGGACGUCGCACUCGCGCUCACGUUCAGCUCGAUUACGCUCGCGUACAUUCCCGCCACGUAUAUUCUCCAACACCUUGCGUGGAAAAAUGAAGGAAUCGAAGUUGCGAAUCGGAGGGGGAGCAUCAUGCGUGAGAGAUUAAAUCGAUG